AUCCACCUUAGGGAAGCUGAGAUCAAUUCCUACUUUCUACAUUGAUUUUAUUUAUUUACUUAAGCCCUCAAAUUUUGUAAAUUUCACCUUCCUACAGCUAGGAAUUUGUAUCUGCAGGAGCACUUUCCUAACUUCUCUGUUAUCUAUUAAUCCUCAAUCCAUAUGGAGUACACAGUUGAGAUCGAGUUAUAGAUAGAGCAGGUUAUUUCGCUGGGAAGCCAGGCCAAGCCGAGUGCCCUUGCGGAUAAUAUAGCCAUCAAGACCGCAAUACUGCUAGCUAUCAAUGGCAGAAAGAGUUUUCAAGUGGAGCCCAUUUUAGUCGAAGCUUGUUCAAGAGAUUGAGUUCCCUUGGAAAAUUGAAGCAUCCACUCAAUGUGCAGUACAGAAUGCACCUUUCAAUAAGUUGCUUUCCAAAUCAGAUAUUUGACAGCGGCCAGAUCCAUGAUGGCUUGAAUGUAAAACAUGAGAGUUACACCAAGCAAUAUCUAUCGGACCAGAUUUCCGGUUCAUAUUCUUUCAUAAAUGUUUCUGAGGGAGG